AGUGAACGCUGGCGGUAGGCCUAACACAUGCAAGUCGAACGAGUGGCGGACGGGUGCGGAAUACAUCGGAAUCUACUCUGUCGUGGGGGAUAACGUAGGGAAACUUACGCUAAUACCGCAUACGAUUGAAUGAGCCGAUGUCGGUUUAGCUAGUUGGCGGGGUAAAGGCCCACCAAGGCGACGAUCCGUAGCUGGUCGUAGAGGUAGAUCAGCCGGACAGGAACUAGGACACGGUCCAGACGCCUACGGGAGGCAGUAGUGGUGAAUAUUGGACAAUGGGCGCAAGCCUAAUCCAUCCAUACCGCGUGGGUGCAGAAGGCCUUCGGGUUUUAAAGCCCUUUUGUUGGUAAAGCGGUACCCAACGAAUAAGCACCGGCUAAAUUCGUGCCAGCAGCCGCGGUAAUAC
rnacentral:rRNA from 1 species